GCUCCGUCCGGCGCCUCUUUUCAGACCGCAGACAACGGUCUCUCUGUUUUUCCGUCAAGGAAAACGCCGCCCAGUGUAUUGCGCCAACUGGGUAUUUUGGAAAACUCCGAUCCUUAAUCCCAAUCGCCAUGUCCAGAUUUAUGGGUAGCGGGAACGUGAGGAGGGUUGCACUAGCCUUCCUUAGAAGUCCAAAUUCAAGAUGCUUCGAAGUAAAUAGUGAUAGGAUAUAUGAUAGAGUUGGUGCCAUUAACUCCCUUUGCAGAUUAUUUUUGUACUACAAACCUUCUUUGAGAGAAUAUUCUCUGUAUAAAGCAAACAGUAACUUGUUAAAAAGUGGCGGCUUUCGGAAUUCCCAUGGCCUUGCAACAAGUAAUACAAUAUCUCACCAUGCACAAAUCACAUGGAAGAGAUGUUCUCAGCUAUGUUCUUAUGGUGGUCCGGCUUUGCCACCAAUAGGUAGGAUUGCUUGUGCGGUGAGCUUGGCUCUGACUCGUUCAAAUCUCGUAGCACCGGGUAUUAUUGCCUUUGUAGUUGGAGAAUUUGCUUUGAUGGAACGAUCAUGGGCGGAAGCAGAACAAAUUCCUACAAGGGGUACUCUAAAUCUCAAUGCACAAGAUGGACAUGUAUAUUUAACCUCAUUUUUGUUUUCACUUCUGGAAUUUUUUAUCUUGUUUCUCAGAGCGAUUUAUCUAGCGCUUUUGUUCUCGCCCUGCAUUACUAUGGCACCUUUCAUCGAGUCUCUUGGCAUUCAGUACAGGAAGAUAUGGCUUUCUCUUGUACAUCAUACACUGGAGAAGGCAGGCCCCGCGUUUAUUAAAUGGGGUCAGUGGGCUGCAACUAGACCGGAUCUCUUCCCAAGAGAUUUGUGCAGUGAGCUCGCUAAGCUUCAUACAAAGGCACCAGCUCAUAGUUUCUCGUUCUCCAAAAAGAGUAUCGAAAGCGCAUUUGGUUGCAAGCUGCCUGAGAUUUUCGAAACCUUUGAAGAGCAACCUGUGGCAUCAGGAAGUGUCGCCCAAGUUCAUCAAGCAACAUUAAAAUACAGGUAUCCUGGUCAACAGAUCAAGCCCAUCGUAGUUGCUGUGAAAGUUCGACACCCAGGUGUUGGUGAAGCAAUUAGAAGGGACUUUGCAAUUAUUAAUUGUGUGGCAAAAAUCUCGAAGUUUAUCCCUGCUUUGAAUUGGUUGAGAUUAGAUGAAAGCAUACAACAGUUUGCUGUUUUCAUGAUGUCUCAAGUUGAUCUGUCAAGGGAAGCUGCCCAUUUAAGUCGUUUUAUAUAUAACUUUCGUAGAUGGAAAGAUGUUUCAUUCCCUACGCCUUUGUAUCCCCUGGUUCACCCAUCUGUUUUAGUGGAAACUUAUGAACAAGGUGAAAGUGUAAUGCACUAUGUUGAUGAACUUGAAGGACACGAGCAGAUUAAAACGGCCCUUGCACAUAUUGGAAGCCAUGCACUUUUAAAGAUGCUCUUGGUGGAUAAUUUCGUUCACGCAGACAUGCAUCCUGGAAAUAUUCUUGUCCGAGUAACAAAGGGCAUAUCAUCACCUGAACGGCUCUUCAAAUCCAGGCCUCAUGUCAUUUUCCUUGAUGUAGGCAUGACUGCUGAACUUUCAAAGAGAGAUCGAGCGAAUUUACUAGAAUUCUUUAAGGCAGUUGCCCUUUGAGAUGGUCGAACUGCAGCUGAGUGCACACUUAGAUUGUCUAAACGGCAGAAUUGUCCAAAUCCAAAGACUUUUAUUGAGUUAAUUGGCUGCAGGAAGUCGAAAAAGCAUUCAAGUACUGGGACUCCCCGCAGGGUGAAUUGGUGAGCCCCGGUGACUGCAUGAAGCAAUUGCUCGAGCAAGUUAGACGACAUAAAGUCAACAUUGAUGGUAAUGUUUGCACCGUGAUGGUAACCACUUUGGUUCUUGAGGGGUGGCAGCAGAAACUUGAUCCAGAGUACGAUGUGAUGCACACUUUGAGAACAUUGCUAUUUAAGGUUAACUGGGCAGAAUCUUUCUUUUACACCAUUGAAGGACUCAUGGCGCCAUAAAAGGUGCCGUGAUCUCUCUCUCUCUCUCUUAAUCGAAGAAAAAGGGAACAAAGGACCUCUCUCACUCACACACAAAAAGUUUUGACAAUUACAGACUGAUCAGAAGAUGGUAAAGAGAAGGAUACAUACAUAUAAAUGAAUUAUACUGUUUGUCAUAUUAAUAAACCUUCGCAAUGGCGAA